GGUCGGAGUGAGCGCAUGCGUGUUAGGGGAGAGGUGGAGCUAUGUCGUCAUCGUUUCAGAAGAAUCUCGUGUAAACACAGAAACGUGUGGUCGUGGUUUGUCCGUGAUAUCAAGGGAGCCGGGUUCAGAUGUUCUGGUUCCGACCGGCCGCGUCGUGUGGACGAGGCCUCAGUGAGCGGAUGUUCCGAAGCCAGAUGAUACAGGUCUGCGCUCGGAGGCCGGUUUGGUCCGAAUGACUACCCGUAGACCACGUGACUGUUGUUGUCACACGCCGCGCCGCUGCUGCACGCGCAUGCUGGACGUUCCGGAGCUAACGGACAAUAACACGCGCUGUGGACGGACCCGGAGCCGCGCGGGACACAGUCCACUGUGGGAGACAUGUGCUUCUCCACGGGGGACUCGGCGCUGACGCUGGCGGUGCCGCCUGUAGAAGCAGAAGCUACCGGGAGUUAGCAUUAGCGGCUAUGCGGCUAACUGGAUCCGCCGGGUCCACAAACACCCGCCCGCUAAGGAACGGGUCCACGGCGUGAUACGGAGCAGAGCGUGUUGUGUUCGUGCUGGACUCCACAGAACCAGGUUGUGGGAGUGUGGAGAAAACGGCAGGAGACGCGCCGGGGUCGGUCCAGAGGACCAGCUUUCCAGCCGGGCUCGCGGAACAGCAGGAGACACGAGGAGGCGAGAAGAGGACACGAUGAGCCCGGCGGGGCUCAGGAGGACCUCUGACAUCAGGAGGCAGCAGCGGUGGCUGAAGAAAAGCAGAAGGCAGUGCACAGAUGUGACAGAAGGGGCGUCACAGUGGGGACGUCCAGAGAGCACAGCGGAUGGAUCCGAGGUCACGCCCGUCGAGGAGGAGAGGAGGGGCCAGGAGGAGCACGGCAGAGGUCAGGAGGAGGUGCUGCCAUGGGGAGGUGAAAGCAUAGAGCAGAUGAAGCCAGGCUACUUGUGUGUAUUGUAGAGUCUGGGUCAGAGUGUGUGUUGAGUGUGGAGGUUGUGUGUGCGUGUGUGUGUGUGUGUGUGUGUGUGUGCAUGUGUCACUUGAGUGAGUGUGUGCUGGUUAGGAAGUGUGUUUGUUAGAGCUGUGUAGGCAGUAGUUGUAAUGUGUGUGUGUGUGUGAUUGUGUAGGCAACAUGUUAGUAGUCAGCACCACCACAGGUUUGUUGUUGUUGUUGAAACAUGUGUACAGUGUAGUGCCUUUACAUGUG
rnacentral:lncRNA from 1 species